UUAAAUUGAAGAGUUUGAUCAUGGCUCAGAUUGAACGCUGGCGGCAGGCCUAACACAUGCAAGUCGAACGGUAACAGGAAGCAGCUUGCUUCUU
rnacentral:rRNA from 1 species